AAUAGAUACCCUGGUAGUCCACGCCGUAAACGAUGAGUGCUAAGUGUUAGGGGGUUUCCGCCCCUUAGUGCUGCAGCUAACGCAUUAAGCACUCCGCCUGGGGAGUACGGUCGCAAGACUGAAGCUCAAAGGAAUUGACGGGGGCCCGCACAAGCGGUGGAGCAUGUGGUUUAAUUCGAAGCAACGCGAAGAACCUUACCAGGUCUUGACAUCCCAUUGACCACUAUGGAGACAUAGUUUUCCCUUCGGGGACAACGGUGACAGGUGGUGCAUGGUUGUCGUCAGCUCGUGUCGUGAGAUGUUGGGUUAAGUCCCGCAACGAGCGCAACCCUUGUUCUUAGUUGCCAUCAUUUAGUUGGGCACUCUAAGGAGACUGCCGGUGACAAACCGGAGGAAGGUGGGGAUGACGUCAAAUCAUCAUGCCCCCUUAUGACCUGGGCUACACACGUGCUACAAUGGACGGUACAAACGGUUGCCAACCCGCGAGGGGAGCUAAUCCGAUAAAACCGUUCUCAGUUCGGAUUGUAGGCUGCAACUCGCCUAC
rnacentral:rRNA from 1 species